UCGCAACGCCGCAACGUUGUCACGGGUC
rnacentral:sRNA from 1 species